UGGGGAAUAUUGGACAAUGGGCGCAAGCCUGAUCCAGCCAUGCCGCGUGAGUGAUGAAGGCCCUAGGGUUGUAAAGCUCUUUCACCGGUGAAGAUAAUGACGGUAACCGGAGAAGAAGCCCCGGCUAACUUCGUGCCAGCAGCCGCGGUAAUACGAAGGGGGCUAGCGUUGUUCGGAUUUACUGGGCGUAAAGCGCACGUAGGCGGACUUUUAAGUCAGGGGUGAAAUCCCGGGGCUCAACCCCGGAACUGCCUUUGAUACUGGAAGUCUUGAGUAUGGUAGAGGUGAGUGGAAUUCCGAGUGUAGAGGUGAAAUUCGUAGAUAUUCGGAGGAACACCAGUGGCGAAGGCGGCUCACUGGACCAUUACUGACGCUGAGGUGCGAAAGCGUGGGGAGCAAACAGGAUUAGAUACCCUAGUAGUCCCUGAGCGGGCUGGCAAGGCGCAU
rnacentral:rRNA from 1 species